rnacentral:rRNA from 1 species
GAUGAACGCUAGCUACAUGCCUAAUACAUGCAAGUCGUGCGAACACGCGUGCUGCUUUCUCCUCUUACGUUAGCGACGGGCGGACGGGUGACUCGUGGGUACCCUACCUAUCCGACUCGGAUGACUUCGGGAGACCGGAGAUGAUACCGGACAAUAUAUUUCACCGCUUUGUUCGAUAGUUUAAGUCGGUUUUUCUGUCACUUAUAGAUGGCUCUGCGCCGCAUUAGCUAGUUGGUAAGGUAACGGCUUACCAAGGCAACGAUGCGUAGCCGACCUGAGAGGGUGAAAGGCCACACUGGAAGGGAGACAGGGUCCAGACUCACACGGGAGGCAGCAGGAGGGAAUGUACCGCAAUGGGCGAGAGCGUGACGGAGCAACCCCGCGUGAGUGAUGAAGGUCGUCGGUUCGUAAAGCUCUGCGAUUAGGGAAGAACAAAAGGGGCAGUAAGUAUGCAGGUCUUGACGGUACCUAAAGAGAAAGGAACGGCUAACUACGUG